CCCUUAGAUGUUCUGGGCUGCACGCGCGCUACACUGAUGCGUUCAACGAGUGUAUCACCUUGCCCGAUAGGGUUGGGUAAUCUUUUGAACACGCAUCGUGAUGGGGAUAGAUUAUUGCAAUUAUUAAUCUUCAACGAGGAAUUCCUAGUAAUGAUGAAUCAUCAGUUCAUCGUGAUUACGUCCCUGCCCUUUGUACACACCGCCCGUCGCACCUACCGAUUGAAUGGUCCGGUGAAAUCUCGGGACGGCGGCUUGGUCGCUUGCGUCCGACUGCUGAAACUUGAUUAAACCAUAUCAUUUAGAGGAAGGUGAAGUCGUAACA
rnacentral:rRNA from 1 species